GUACCACAUGCAUUAGUCGUGUCUAGGGAUGACAUGACAUUGGAUAAUUGGCAUUAGAUGCAUUAGGGUAAAUGCACAUGUAUUUGAUAAUUGUUAUGUGACAUUAUCUGAUUGGAUUGUAAUGUGUUUUCCGUAUGUGUUAAGCUUUGGUAUUUACUAAUUGUUUAAUUCUGUGAUUGUUGCCAUGUCUUGGUAUAUGAGCAGAGUCCGUCAUGACUAUAAAAUGAACAAGUGUAGAGUCCGUCAUGACUAUAAAAUGAACAAGUGUAG
rnacentral:lncRNA from 1 species